rnacentral:rRNA from 1 species
CCUAUGCGAGGCAGCAGUGGGGAAUAUUGCACAAUGGGCGCAAGCCUGAUGCAGCCAUGUCGCGUGUGUGAAGAAGGCCUUCGGGUUGUAAAGCACUUUCAGCGGGGAGGAAGGCGGUGAGGUUAAUAACCUCAUCGAUUGACGUUACCCGCAGAAGAAGCACCGGCUAACUCCGUGCCAGCAGCCGCGGUAAUACGGAGGGUGCAAGCGUUAAUCGGAAUUACUGGGCGUAAAGCGCACGCAGGCGGUCUGUCAAGUCGGAUGUGAAAUCCCCGGGCUCAACCUGGGAACUGCAUUCGAAACUGGCAGGCUAGAGUCUUGUAGAGGGGGGUAGAAUUCCAGGUGUAGCGGUGAAAUGCGUAGAGACCUGGAGGAAUACCGGUGGCGAAGGCGGCCCCCUGGACAAAGACUGACGCUCAGGUGCGAAAGCGUGGGGAGCAAACAGGAUUAGAUACCCUAGUAGUC